UUACCAAGGCUUUGACUGGAAUGUCAUAGUUGAGAGAGAGAUGCAUAGAUUCAGACAUGACCAGACAGCUGUAAGGAACUGCCUGAAACUUGGCUCGGCUUCCUGGCCUCAGAGGCUUUGAAAGAGUCAAAUCUGAGAUUCCUUAUAAAAAGUUCCAGCAAAGCAGUCUUAAAAGAGCUUAUGUGGUCAAUCACCAUUCUUGCUACACUCAUGUAAAUAAUCAGGCCAAGUUUAAUACAAACAAAUUAGUUUUACUCUGAUUAUCUUUGGUAAAAAAUGGGGUAAUUGUAGAGAGAAAAAUUAUGUUUGCACCUUUGUAGAUAUUUAGAUUCUAACCCUGUUAAUUGUCUUUGAGGUUUUGUUAUAUACCUGUAAACUGAACUGGAUCCUAAAUUCUUCUAAUUUUCUCAAAUAUCUGGCUACCACUCUCCAACCGAAUGUUUCCUAUUGCCUCCCAUCCUUCUGAUUUGGAAUCACUGAGACCAAAGACUGUCCUUGAAUCUCCUUGGAAAGGAAUAUACUAGGUCUUCCUCCCGACCCAGAUGGCAGCCAAACCUCCAGGACUUAAACCUUGGCUACACAUCUCACAGUGGAAGAAAGCUCCUCCUGACCUCUGGUCCUUUACAAACACUGAAGACCUCUGAAUCAAACUGAUGAGCAGGAGAAGCAGCUGACAUUGACGUAGACUGCUUCCACCCAAGACACCAGAUCAAGAUUUCCCAUUUUAACUAAACAUGAAACACUGUCUUCCUCUCUUCUUUCCUUUACUCUGGCAUUGGCCUGGCAAGAUAAUGCCACCAUCAUAUCUCCCAAGCCAUUACUAAGGGAGAGCAACCUUUCAGACAGCUGGAUUCAUCAUCAAAAACUCCAAUCUGUUCAUGAUGCUGGAACCCAUGAACAAUGCCACCUGAGCAGUAAUGGUUUACGCCCCAACAGGAUUUAAUUUCAUCGGUGGUGGUGAUCAUUCUCCUUGGACCUAUAAAUGCUUAGAUGGCUAACACAUAACUGGGCAAUGCCCCUUAGGUUAUCUAACUGUGCCACUCAACUGUUCUCAAAUAGGCUAAGACACUUCAUUGGUCAACUCCCCUAAUCAUCCAAUUCGAAAAGACCUGCCAGGAGGCCUUCAUGAUUCAGGAUGUGCUUCUUUCGGCAGGUCCCUACUUCCUUUGUUAGGAGUGAGUACAAAUGAGGCUGUGAUCAGAAAUCCCUCCUUAACUCUUGAAAGUAUUGCAGAAUUCGCUGCUAAAGCAAUAGCUGCCCAAUGAAAAUCUCUAGACUCUCAGCUCAAAGUAGUUCUUGAUAAUAUGACAGCCCUUGAUCAUUUGUUAGCUGAGCAAGGAUGUGUCUGUGCUGUGGCCACCACCGCUGCACCUGGAUUAACACUUCUGGGGAAGCUGAAAUUUAGUUACAUAAAAUCACUGAGUGCGCCACUUGGCUUAAAAAGGUGACUCCUUCAACAGAGUAUUUCUUUCACUUAUUGGAUUUUGAUUGGUUUGGGUCUUGGGGACCAUGGCUCUGAAGUGCACUCCAGACAUGGGAAUUAUCCUACCAGUAACAGUCAUAGUAAUCUCCCUGAUGCACUGUAUUCUCUCAAAAGCUUUAAAUGCGUGUUUGCAGCUGCUAACCAUCAAGCAAAUGAAUGUGAAGUCGUGACCUGUGAAUACCACAGGAUUCAGCAGAAAACCUCAUGACCUGUGACUAUAACACGGAGAAACAGUAAAAGCUGCGAGACCAACAGAGCGGUAGCUGAGAGUGGCACUAAUGCCUUAAAUUUUGAUCACAUCUUUCAAGUUAUGCUAAGAGUCUCAUGCAAAGGGGGAGAACUGUUAAAAAAGAAAAAACAGGAACAAAAUGGUGUCACUUGUGCUAAGUCCCACAUCAAUAAAUCAAGACUUAAUUGCACUUUCAGUCUCUCACAGGAAUGUGACCUUUAACUAGUCAAUCUGGAAUUACCUGGUCGGCAUGAGUGAGUAAUCUGCCUCAUAGAUCCCCACACUACUCUUCCCCAAAGGAAGGUGAUCUUGCCCGAAUCUGCUCUUUGCUAGAAACUUCCUUUAUUCCGUCCCUUCUGCCCAUAACAGCCUUCCACUUUGCAUAGCUCCUUGGACCUCCCUUCUAUUUGCUAGCUGGGAUGCUGCUCAAUUCAUGAAUUGUUGGAUAGAGCCAAUUCGAUCUUCAAAUUUACUCAGUUGGCUUUUGCUUUAAACACCUUAGCAUCAUCAUCCUCUGAAAAUAAUGCUAAUUUUGUCUUUUUUCUAUUACUAUAUUUCUUUCUUUCUCUUAUCUGGGGGACAAAGAGAUUAAUUAGAACACUAAGGUUCCUUAGAGGAUGUAAGACUUCGGUGAAUCUUGCAGGAAUAGCAGCAAUUGGACUGGCUAAGAGGGGAGGAUGACAGAAAUAUAGCCACGCAUUGCUCAAUGAUGGGGAUACAUUCUGAGAAAUGUGUUAGGCAGUUUCAUCAUUGAGCGUACUUACACAAUUCAUCAUAGAGUGUACUCACACAAACCUAGAUGGUAUAGACUACUACACACCUAGGCUAUAUGGUACUAAUCUUACGGGACCACCCUCCUAUAUGCCCUCCGUCCUUGACCCAAACGCUGUUAUGCUGUGCAUGUCUCUAGAUAAAAUUGAGCUGUCCUACUCCCAACUAACGGAAGUCAGUUGAUAGAACCGCUGGUGGCACCUGGAACUCUACAUAUUACAUCACAGAAAAACUCAGACUAGUAGUGUCUUGGAACAUGUUUUGUUCAUAGUAAGUGUGAAAAUAAAGGAAAACCUCUUUUAAAAUGGAGUCAUGAAACCCUGAAGGGGGACCUCUCACGUACAUACCACUCACUGCUGCCUGCCUAACUGGCAGGAAGAUGGACGAUAAGAAUUAUUUUAACCAGGCCUAUUUGUAUAAAAUUCUCUCAGUCCCAACUUCUUAUCCGUGAUGAUAAGAAUGUAACUUUUCUGCUGGUGCAACGGAGGACAUCUUCACCUAGGAAUUUCAUCUCCUGCUUUUAAGAAAAGGAAGGAAGAUCCGUCCCUGCCGCAGCGACAACGCAUUGUCACAACCUUACACUCUUGUUCUUCUCCAAUGAACUUUUAUUCUAAAUAACCCUCCUUAAUUUCCUCCUAACACCUAAUAAAAACUAACUUUCCCCUUGUCUCUUCCAACUUGCCUAUGGUUCACCAUAGUUUGCACGUCCAGAAUUGCAAUUCCUCGGCUAUUCCCAAAUAAACUCAUUUUUUGAGCUUGCCCCCCAGACAGCUUCAUUUAGGUUGACAUAACAGCUAAAGAUAGUUUUAGUCUCUAUUAACAUCACAACCAAAUACUUAAAUCACAACCAAGUACUUAAAAGCCUGACAUAAUUGUAGACUCAUAAGUGAAAUGUCACAUUAUCAUUUUCAAUAAAUCAGCAUCAAUUUAACAUUUCGGAGAGCCCCCCAAAUUCUCAGCACUCAAAUCCAAGACAAGAAAGAUAAAAAACAGUACGACUGCAUUCUGGUUAUCCUAUGAAUUAAAGUGGAGUGAGUGUGAGUGAGUGUGUGUGUGUGUGUGUGUGUGUGUGUUUUAAAGCCUUUUGUUCACCAGCUUCUUUCCCUAUCUUACACUGUACUCCCUAAGGACUGUGUAUAUCAUUUAACUUUCUCCAUUGAACGAUAAACUUCAGAAGGUCUGGCCAUUUUGGUUCUACGGGGUUUCUAUCUCUUGCGCUUUCCCAGAUCAUACCAUGUAUUUAAUAUGCAUUGACCCACCUGUGCAGAAAAGGGACCGUCUAGUCUCAUGCUUAAAUCAGUACUAUGUCACUAUCCAUCGAUCAAUAAGUUGUGCAUUCUCGGUGACAACUGAAUGUUUUCUCUUUCAGCUGAAGUUUAAAGGAGGAGGGGAGUCGACUCCAAAACUGCACACUGGUGUAGCCCCAAACGGAAAUACAGCGAAAGCUCGAGCGACCUCUCCCAGCGCAAACGAGUCCACCCCAGCUUCAGGAAACGAAGGAGUAUGUGGGGUUGCGGAUGACUGGCUUUGGGGCUCAUUCUUUUCACUACAGCGCCCCAGGAGCGGAAGGCAAGCCCAGGCUCCAGGGACCACGCAGUCCCGCUGGGGCUGAGAGCGUCUCCCCCAGGGUGUCCCGGACGCCCGGCAGGAAAGAGCGCCGCCGGGCCGCCGACACCUGAGCGCGCGCCCGGUGGGGCGGGCCGGGAGCCCUCUCUCCCUUCCGCCUGCGACGCGCGUUGUCGGUCGAGCCGGUGUAUGUGCGGUAAUAACAUGUCUGCCCCGCUUCCCGCCAUCAUCCCCGCCGCCCGGAAGGCCACUGCUGCGGUGAGUGGCGGCAGCCGGGGCUCGGAGGGGACCCUCGGCCCGCUGCUCACCACUGCCCUUCGCGCAGGGUUGGCGUCGCUGACCGCCUGGCGGCCGGUGGGUGGGUUCCCUCCGCCGGGUCCGGGGUGGGCUGGGUGGGUGGGGUGGGGUGGGGUGGUCGGUGUCGGGAGGGCGCCGGGGCUGCGGCCGGGCCGGAGGAUCAGCGCGCCCGCCCCCGUCAGCCCCGAGCCCUCUGCAUUGCGGAGCGAGUCCCCAGCUUGUAGGGACCGGCGUUAGCGGCCAGGCACCCUAACUCGAGGUGGCUCCGUUGCUCGUUUCUCUCUUGUUUGUGGGUGAGGGAAGUCUGAAGUCCUCAAGAAAAUGACUUUAUUUUCUUACCUUGCACUCGUGUCCUGAAUUAAAGAAGUUUGAAGAUUGGCAACUUAUGACAUCACAGGGUGCUGUUUUUUAGAAAACCGUGUACGAGGAGCUCAAAUGUCUUUUUAACCCCGGAAGCUCCUUUUUGUGAUGGAAAAAGUCUACAGUUUACAUGAGACUUGCAUGGUUUGACUUGAAACAAACUAUUUUUCCUAGAAUGUUAUUUGCACUUAAGAAUGUCUAACUGGGACCUCUUUAAGUGCUAAGGCCGCACAUUAAUUAUCUUCGGAACUACAGUGAGAGAAAUUAAGUAUUUUUCCCACUGAAGAGAGCUCUAUGGAGUUUGAUUUGCUGAAGGUAGUGUUCUGAAAUUCUGGCAUCCAGAAUUGACCAACGCUAGUGUGUAUCAAUUCUGUGUGGGUUUAUUUGGGCAUUGUUUAUUAAUUUUUUCUCUUGUAGGUGAUUUUCCUUCAUGGAUUGGGAGAUACAGGGCAGGUACCAUUAUUUUUAAUAACAGUAAUGAAAUGGGGUCAUGCAACUCUACUUACAUGAUCAAAGGUUUAAUGUUAAUGAACUCUAGGAUUGUAUGAAAAAAGAUUGCUAGUGAUAUUUCUUACAGUCCAGUAAUAUGAUAGAAUCUUUUCUUUUUUAAAAACCUCCAGAAUUUCCUCUCAUCAUCGUGAAUUCGUCAUUUUUCAACUCCUGUUUCUGGAACGUAUUAAAAUUGCAAACGCCUCCUUGAGUUGCUGUGGGCAUUGGAUACCAGAGAUGGGUGGAAUGUUUGUAGAGAGUGUGCAACUGAGAGCUUUCCGGAGGAGUUAAAAUUUCAGGGCAAGUUGAGGAGAACAACUGGUUGAUUUUGAUAAGAGCAAUAAUCGCAAUGUGAGGUAUACGGCAUUCUGAAUGAAAGCUUAAUUAUGCCCUUAAGAGAAAAAAUCAGUUCAAGGGUCGGGGAGGCAACUCAAAGAUUUAUUUGGCAGUUUAUCAAACACAUUUUGUUGUGCUAACUUGAGAUGUACAAUUUAUCUUUCAGUCAGGCUUUUCCUAUAUUGUGAAGUGUUUGUUUUUAAUUUAAAUUGUGAUUAUCUGUUUGAAACUUAGGUAAAACUGUAACAAAAUUGCAGAAUUAGAGGAAAACUGAAGAUAAACAAAUUUUGAGAAGAAAAUUCUUAUUGGAACAGGAAAACAGCAUAAAAAAAGGAAAAUUCUAUGAGUAAAACAGAAAAUGAAAAAUUUCAAUGCCAUUAAAAGCAGACACACACGAUCAUUCGUGUCGUAUGCCAUUUGAAAAGGUUGUUUUAUCAUCAAUGUAACUAAUCACAAUGAAACCAUCUCUUACAACUAAAGACAUUAUAACGAAUUUUCUUCACAGCUACAGAGAGACGGGAUUUGCUGUUUCACAUCAAAUAGAACAGGCUACAUAAAUUCUUCUUCCUAUUUAUUGUAAAAUAUAAUUUCAUCUAUAAAAUCAGUCAUGAAAUAUUAAAACAAACAACAGACUUUAUAUCCUUUUCUUAAUUUAGUUUGAACGGUCUAUUCGCUCAAAAAGGGGGGAGGUUUGCAAUCACACACAUCUCUAGACUCUUUCACCAUCUCAGCAGGUUCUCUCUAUAAACGUUAUGCCAUUCAUUCGAGAAUGCUAUCAUUUUUCUGUAACUUUCCUGAUCCCCUUUUCCUUAGUUUUCACCUAGCAAAACUGCAUUUCCAUUUUCAAGUUUUCCCUCUAAAUUCUCCUUCUGAAUUCCAUUUUGCUGCUUUUCACUAAAGCUCUGUCAGUGUCUCUCACAUCUCACUGUCAAUUAAUUGUUCUAAGUGAGAAAAGGGCAAAAAAUCUCCAAAGUUUAAACGAUUGUUCUUUGACUAUUUUAACAUACUCCUGUUUUAACUGAUCUAACACAAAUUACAAAAUUAACUCAUCUGAAGUUCUAUCACUUUUCCUUUAUUUACCUUGCCUGCUUUUACUAUCCUGCCUGCUGGUAUAGGGUGUUAAUGAUUCAAAUCAUAAAAAAUGGGUAAAGGAAGUCAGGAGCGAAAACAGGACUAUAUAUGAAGUUAGACUCUUCAAAAGGAAAACCAAAAAGACUAAGUUUCAAUGUGCUCACUGUCUAUAGUGUAUAAGACUCAUC
rnacentral:lncRNA from 1 species